rnacentral:rRNA from 1 species
UACGGGGGGGGCAAGCGUUGUUCGGAAUUACUGGGCGUAAAGGGCUCGUAGGCGGCCAACUAAGUCAGACGUGAAAUCCCUCAGCUUAACUGGGGAACUGCGUCUGAUACUGGAUGGCUUGGAUUCGGGAGAGGAAUGCGGAAUUCCUGGUGUAGCGGUGAAAUGCGCAGAUAUCAGGAGGAACACCGGUGGCGAAGGCGGUUCUCUGGGCAUUACCUGACGCUGAGGAGCGAAAGUGUGGGGAGCGAACAGG